CAGUCGCCGCGGGAAUACAGAGGGUGCGAGCGUUAAUCGGAUUUACUGGGCGUAAAGCGUGCGUAGGCGGCUAAUUGAGUCGGAUGUGAAAUCCCCGAGCUUAACUUGGGAAUUGCAUUCGAUACUGAUUAGCUAGAGUGUGGGAGAGGAUGGUAGAAUUCCAGGUGUAGCGGUGAAAUGCGUAGAGAUCUGGAGGAAUACCGAUGGCGAAGGCAGCCAUCUGGCCUAACACUGACGCUGAGGUACGAAAGCAUGGGGAGCAAACAGGAUUAGAUACCCGCGUAGUCCCUGUCUCUUAUAC
rnacentral:rRNA from 1 species